GUAGAGACUGUCAAGCACUCGGGUUUCCUGAAACUGAGCUUGUUACCAGGUGUAGAGACUGUCAAGCACUCGGGUUUCCUGAAACUGAGCUUGUUACCAGGUGUAGAGACUGUCAAGCACUCUGGUUUCCUGAAACUGAGCUUGUUACCAGGUGUAGAGACUGUCAAGCACUCGGGCUUCCUGAAACUGAGCUUGUUGCCAGGUGAUUUGUACAGGAACUUCUCAUUAUAAACUGAGCUUGUUGCCAGGUGAUUUGUACAGGAACUUCUCAUUAUAAACUGAGCUUGUUGCCAGGUGAUUUGUACAGGAACUUCUCAUUAUAAACUGAGCUUGUUGCCAGGUGAUUUGUACAGGAACUUCUCAUUAUAAACUGAGCUUGUUGCCAGGUGAUUUGUACAGGAACUUCUCAUUAUAAACUGAGCUUGUUGCCAGGUGAUUUGUACAGGAACUUCUCAUUAUAAACUGAGCUUGUUGCCAGGUGAUUUGUACAGGAA